UGCCUACGGGACGCAGCAGUAGGGAAUUUUCGUCAAUGGGCGCAAGCCUGAACGAGCAAUGCCGCGUGAGGGAAGACUGCCCUAUGGGUUGUAAACCUCUUUUGUCAGGGAGCAAUUGGCGCUACGUGUAGCGUUAUCGAGAGUACCUGAAGAAAAAGCAUCGGCUAACUCCGUGCCAGCAGCCGCGGUAAUACGGAGGAUGCGAGCGUUAUCCGGAUUUAUUGGGUUUAAAGGGUGCGUAGGCGGAAUGCCAAGUCAGCGGUAAAAUCGCGGGGCUCAACCUCGCUCCGCCGUUGAAACUGGCG
rnacentral:rRNA from 1 species